UGACUCUCUGCGUCUACACUACUCCCUGCCCUUACCCUAUGAAUCAGAUUUUUUAUCAGCUGGGCAGAGAGAACAGCAUUGGAGAUGAACUGACAGAGCGGAUCAUCCGCGCAUACAGUCCAUAGGGAGAACAGACGGUUCUGGGUGUAUGUGGUGAUGCCUAUUCUACUCAGCUUCGAAGGCGACAUCUCCUCAGGAGGGGGCCAAGCCAUCAAAGCCAUCAUGUACUUUAAUUACAGGACCAUGUGUCGCAGAGAUCGCUCCAUCAUUGAGAGACUGAAAUAUGUUCUCCGGUUCUUGGCGUUUUCAUUCGGUGAAGGAUGCGUGGCCUGCCGGGCAGAUGGACAUGCUAACGUAUGGAAGUUGCUGAAAGCGUAAUAUAAAGUUGUUUGGAAGGUGUAGGCUAUGGUAUGUAGAAAGAUUUGACUGAUGGAAGCUUUGGGAAAGUUUGUGUGGGGUUUAUUGAUCUCUGUGUUGCAGUCCUUUUGCUCAGGUUAGAUGGCUCGUCCCUCUGACCGCCCGCCACCCUCCCACGGUUUUCCGCCAGGCCGAUUGCUGGGACUUCUUCGAGGUUUGCAUGGUCCCAUCCCGCCCGGCAUCACUGCAUCGUUUGAGAACAUUUCCCUACACUCGACAUAGCCAACCCCGCUGGAGGCCGAGAUGGCCCCCGAUUGGUUUCGCUCUAUGGACCUUUUCGUUGUGACCGUGGUGGUGUUUGCACCACUUUAGAAGUGUUCACAGGGAGUCUACGCGGGUCAAGAAAAGGUCCAAAAGUGGGGAGUAGUACACACCAGAUCCGUAAUCUCCAGUGUUUGCAGCGACUGAGACCAAAGAAGAUUACAGACCCGGGGUUGAGGAACAGACUAUGCUAACUGCUACGUUUAAAUUUAUGAAGCUACCACUAGACGUUUGACUGGACAUUGGAUUUGGGAAGAUACCAGUGGGAAUUAUAACAACGGCUGUUUAGAUGUAUUGUUCCCGCAAGAAUAGAGACAGUUUCGGCUGCCUCUUUGGCCUCGCUGCGAGCGAUCCAACGGGAACAUGCAGGAACACUAACCCGCCUGAGGGAGGGGUGCUGACGUAUUCCCUGUGCCCGAGGGUUCCG
ensembl:lncRNA